rnacentral:sRNA from 1 species
AUACACAUGUGUACACACGAACAAGCACACUAACAUGAAAUCCAAACCUAACAUGAUUGUGAAUUUCCUGAAAAACAUUUGGGGCAAAUGUACUCAGAGAAAAAACUACUAUGGGCUGCAGAGUUUCUAGAAUGCUGGCAAGGGAACAAACACACACAGGCAGGGAGGAGCACUGUGCUGCCUUAAAAUAUACCCCUUUGUACACACAUACUACACAGUCUGUCACCAUGGGAGCUGUCAUAAAACACAUUUUUGUCUCCUUUGCCUCAAAUAUGAAAUGGCUAUUUAUAAAUGUGUUCACAGGGUGGACUGUGUUCUUCUUUUAAACAGUACAGAAACUAUGAGACUCUUGAUAAGGAGGUAGAAGAUAGAGACUUCUAAGCGUGACUCUAAUUUAAGCCCCUAGGAAGGACAUCUCAGGACUAAGGAAUGUUGGGAAGGAUCUAGAAGUCUCCGGAUAACAUUAAAAUUGGAAAUAAUUCCAAAGCGGUCAGAUUAAUGCAUGUGCUGUUCCGGGGCUGAAACAUUUAAAAGUCACCCAAGCUCAGAACUUGCACCUGAUAAGAACUGCCUCAUGAGAUGAGACAGAGGGUGGUGGGUAAAGGUAUUAGGCUCCUAUGCCUGAGGCCUGGACUCAGUCACUGAAAAUCACAUACAGUGGAAAGCAGCAGCAUGCAUCUGUAACCCCAGCAUUUCUAUGGUUAGAUGAGGAAGGCAGAAGGUUCUUGUUACUUUGGGUUCCUGUGACAAAACAAUAAUCAAAAAAGAACUUGGGGAAGAAACCAUUUAUUACACCUUAUGGGUUAGAGUCCAAGAACAAUUGACGCUUGAAUUUAAAGUAGCAAUUCAAGACAGAAUCUUGGAGGCAGGAACUGAAGCAGAGAUCAUGGAGGAAUGCUGCUUACUGGCUUGCUCAGCUUGAUCUCUUCUUAUUCAAGCUAGAGCAGCACAAGUCGUGUUAAUCAAAAAGGAAAUGUCUUUCAGAUGUUCAUACAUGCCAAUCUGAUGGAGCUUCUCAUUUUCCAGGUGACUCUAAUUUCUGCUAAUUAACAAAUAAAUUGACCAGAAAAGUGAAACAAGAAAGUUUUUAGGGGGUUUAUUUACUAUCUUGCCUGGAGUAUGCAAAAUGAACCAGCCAACAAAGAGACUCCAAUUCAAUGAAGCUGAAGGCAAGAACAUACUCUUCUUACUUGUCCAUUGACAAACAUAUUCAUGGGCUCACAUGUAAAUGGAUAACUAAAUAAAAUUCAAAAUUAAAGUAAAACAUAAAACACCAAACGAAUUAAUUUUUCAAUCUGUGACUAGGUACCACGUGGGAACUCAUCUGGAUGAUGUUGUUCUAGCAUAACACAAUGUGUUCUGUGUAAUUGCAGAAAACACAAAGUAGACCCAAAUUCACAUAUGAGGUUGGUAUUUUAUAUCCUACAUGUGUUGUGUAUUUAUGAAUUAUUUCACCAUUUGCUGGCAUGUAUCAUCCGUCAUUUUAUCAUCUUCCAUUGGUAUAUCUUUUUAAUCUGUCCAUUCAUCCAUACAUAUCAUACCAUGCCAUACAUACAUACAUGCAUACAUAUAUCCACUAUCCAUUUAUAAGUAUAGCUGUCAAAUAGCCUAAAAACAUUUCAUUUUUAGAAAAGAAUCCCUUGAAUUAUAAAUGGGGCUUGGUAAUUGUGGUACAAAAUUGCUUUCCUCUUUUGGUCAUAUCACAUAAAGAUGUUAUGCAUAUUCCUCUACCUACCCACACCUAUAUACUGAGAUUACCUUCUGUCUUCUGAUACUUCAAAGAUGAAUCCAUCUAGUAAGCUUCCUGAAUGUAUUCUCACAUCUGGUAGCAAAGAGAUGAAAUGUUCAGACUUACUAAUAAAUGAUGUUAGAAUGAAAAAUGGCCCCAUGAUUAAUGCAAAUAAAUAGUUAUUUCAUUUGAAAGCAACUAAAAAGAAGUUCUCCUGACUCAAGAUUUCAAGAAAGAUUUUUUGCGAAGAUAUUUGAGUCAUGUUUGAAAGGCAAACAGGGAAUUAUUUAUUAAGCCACUGCCAUCCUGAUGUAGCAGAUACCAAAAGGUAACUGUAAGCCAUCGAGUUCAAGUAAAGUCCUUUGAAGGUAUAAAGAAUGGUUCUUUUUUCUAAAACUGUGCCAGGAAAGGUUGUAAGUUUUCCAAAAUAACAUCUUUGGCCUUUUACAUCUGUCCUGCAAUACGCACAGCUAGCACUGAAAUACUACUGGAGCCCUUGGACUUCCUUUGAAACAUAAUAUUCAACAAAAUAUUUCUCUACAUACAAUUGUUAUUACUAAAAUACUUAUAAAGUCCAAAAAUAACCUUAUUUACAUGGAAUUAUGUCUGCAUAGGCCAAUGACGCUCCUGUUCCUCAUCUUCUCUUCUGAUCUAAUUUAUGUGUGGCUUGUUCUAGUAUUCUCCUGACUCAUGGACUGUGUGCUAUAAAAUGAACUUUUCUUGAGAAGAUGAUUACUGAGACAUCUCUCUAGGACCUUUUUGGUGCUUUUUAUGACAUAGAAUGGAAGUGAUUAGUGGGUGUCUAGGCAAAGAUAGUAAAAAAGUUGGGCAUGACUAUGGAGCUUAGAUAAUGUAUUUCUGGCCACUAAAUGACAAGUAUUAGUUAUUAAAGGGUAAUUGCUUAUCUUUAAAUUUUAAACCUGUAUCAGUUGAGAACUUUAUCAAUUGAACAUCAACUUUGCAUUAUAUUUUGCCCUAAAAGUCUUCAUAUUCUAUGAAGCAUCCCCAUACUCGAUCAUUUGUGUGAUCUUUUGAUGCUUUUUUUCCCUCUUUUUCAGCUAUUCACUUAUUUUCAAAUUUCCCAAUCUAAUCUAAAUUUCAGUAUUCUCUCUGUAAAUAGAUAUCCUAGAAAUGCAAUGAAGAAGGAAUUUAUUGUAUGAUGAAAGUAACAACUUGAAAGCAUAGGAUGACUGGAAACUUCAUCAAGAAAAGAGUAUUUCAACUUUUGGUUCUAUUAAUGAUCCAUAGAUGGGAAAAUAUGAAGUUAGGAGGCUCCUGAGAAAGCAGGGGAGAGGAGUGGCUAUGACCAAGGAACAUGGUAAAUAUGCAUGGAAUCUUCAUAGAAUAAAUUUAAUUAAAAUGUCAAUGAAGUACACAAUAAAAGAAAUGUCGAAAAAUUCAUAGAUGCUGUAGAAACAAGUGAGUAAUUCUGGUCUUCUCUUUUUCUAUUUGAUGACUGGAAUUAGAAGCAAGUACUAUCUACAUUUUUUUGCAUAUUUGUCCACAUUAGGUUAAUGGGUGUCCUAGUUAGCAUUAAAUGUGUAUUUGACAUGCACUAGAGAAGCAUAGAAACUGAGUAAGUGUCUUGAUCAGGUGGAUAAGUAUGGUUUGAUGAAUUGACUGAUAACUGUUGUAGAACACAGCCCACUGUGGGCAGUUCCAUUCUCAGGGCCCUGUUCCUGGGCUACAGUGAAUCUACCUAAGCAAAACCCAAGACAGAGAGUGAGGCAGCUCAAGGUUGCAGGACCAUGCUAUAUGAGGCAUGCUGUACUUCCUUGACUGAAUAUGAAUUCCCUAGUCAUAGGUAAUGAAUGCUGCACGAUGUACCAAGCAGGCCUGUCUUUAGCUUCUUGCUCUGACUACCCUUAGUGACUGCCUGAGGCUUGAAUGUGUAAGAUGAGGUGGUCUAUGUUAUCCCCAAGUUUCUUGUAAUCAGAGUACUCAUCACAGCUACAAAAAGAAUAGGAAGUGGGUAAGCCCGGGCACAUGAUAGGCAGCUGCCUGUCUCCUGUCUCUGCCUCUGCUCAUCUGAAAACUCUGUGUAUUCAUGGCAUUCAAAACAUAUUUGUGUUCAAGCACAUGUUCCCUCGCAUGUAGUCCAGCAUUUUAAGUAUUUUCAUAAUAAAAUUUCUUAAACUUUAAGAAAUGUUAUUCUCCAAUAAGUAUAGAAAAAGUAGAAAAAGCUAGGGAUAGUUACAAAUGGAUUAACUACACACAGCCAUGUUUUGGGCCUAUCCAUUGAUAUACCUCCUGUCUUAUUGCAGAUUUUUUUGCAGUCCAUCCAAAAAAAAAUUGAUUCUGUUUCUAAAUAUAGGUAAUCCCCUAAGCUCCAGUUGAUUCUGAACAACUAGAUGCGUCAGUGUGGGUGUAUCUAAAUUCCCAUUCGGGCUGAAUGCCCAGCUUUGCUAGCCCUGUACAUUGAAGGGACACUCUGAAGGAUUCUAUUUAUCUAAGCGGUUGGCCUCAUGCUUGGAUUUGCAGGUGUGGCUGUAAAUUUCAGAUGAUAUAUGGAGGAGGAAGCCCAACAAAAUCUGAAACUGUAACAGAACUCAAGACUCACGGCCUCUUUUGGGAGAUGCUUCGGUUUUAUGAUUUGGGCUGUGGAAGAUGGUGGAACCUCACUGGGAUCACAUCUGUCAGGUUUACAGGGUGAAGACAAGCGCUCAGCAGGCUUGCAUGCUACUGUGUGGGAGGAAACAGAUACUCAUAAAUUUGCCCACCUGGUGGAAACAGCAAUUCCUGCUUGUAGCACACACAGCAUGAAGACAUUUCAUUGCAAGCUGACUCUGAGUGACCGCAAGUCAAGACUUAGACUCCAUGUGAAACUGAAAUUAAAGGUGCCCACUAAGCAUUAACCCACAGCAGUCAUUCACACUUUAACCAACUAUUGGUUUCCCAAAUAUCUAAGUCUGCCUCCCUAUGCCCACACCGCUCAGUAUUCCCAUUAAAUUACGAAAAGGCUAAUCUCUGUUCCACCAAACUGAAAUAUGGAAAGAAAUUGCAAGUCAUGACAAUCUACACAAGGGUGGAAUCCUAUUGCAUCAUCAAGUUCUUACUCUGUUUGGCCAGUUAUUCCAGCAAGAGAAGCAAAGGGCGAAGAAAACAAAUGAAACUUUCCAGUGUGGUACUGCGCUAAUGUCACAGAACACCAAUCAUCAUGUUUUUGUCUGCCUGCGAAUCAAUUUGAGUGGGUCACAACACUAACUUGCUCAUCCCACAAUUCUUAGCGAAAGGUAUUAAGCACAGAAUCUGAUUCUGAUAUUCCUUUAUAGUUGUGUAAUUUGUGAUAUUGUUGUAAAAAAAUUUUAAUCAUUCUUUUUUUUAAAAAAGCAUCAGAAAUUCCCAGGAAGCCUGACUCAGGUUACUCAACACUUUAAAAAUGAAACAGUUUUGUUUACCAACCAACAGCACCUUGGACUCUUUGACUUCUUGGCUGAGAUGAUACUGGUGAAGCUUCUGCUGUUUUGCCAUGAGCAAAUAAUGUAAGGUUGAAAGGGAUUAAAUGAAGUGAGUGUUGGGAAUACAGAGCCUACCCGCUGUCCAUUUGAGUAACAUCUGGAUAGCAGGCCAAACAAAAGUCAUUCUAACUGAAUCCUGCUGGUUAUAUAGAAAACCAGCAAAUAAUUUACAUCAGUGUCAAAUAAUUUAUAUUAACUUAACCAAUAUAUAUCUUCUGUCUAGACCAUUGUGAACUUUUCCAGAUAUACAGUUUUUAUUAUUGUUUUCCAGUCCUGAAAGCAAUGGCAAGGUGCUGGCAUUGCCUUCCUGAUGGGUUGCUUGUAUGUUUUGUAGAAUUCGAUGGUUCUGCUUGGGUAAGCAUUUCCUGUAUAGCCCUUCACUGUGUCUCGCCAUACUGGAGCCAUGAAGAAGGAAAUUUAUGUUGAAACCCAGCUAAACUGUUUUUGCUGACAUCCCUCUGUCAUGUUUCAUUCAUACACUGUGAAACCCUGGAGCCUGAGGACCACUUGAGAUUCAAACGCAAAUGCAGAGAGCACACCCUCAUGAGUCUUGGCACCAGUGAUAAACUUUGUCAAAACUGAUUUGGCACUGAAGCAUCAAAUGUUUGCAGCACUCAGCACUUGGAAAAAGCUGACACCAUUCUUAGAUGACUCAUGGGACAACCCAAAGGAAAAAUGUCAGAUGCAGUGACUUCUCUCAGGAACUGUGUGAUUUCAACCCUGAAAUCUCUAAGUGAUCCGAUUCCUUAUUUUUUCCACUGGCUUUUCUUGAGCAGGGGAGGGGAGGCUCUCCAGUCUCCCUUGGAACUUGAUCAUGCAUUUUGGAAUCACUAGCGAUUUGAAUUUCAAAGAAGAUUAAAGACAUUAUUCAUCUCUCUUAAAAAUUGUAAUUGUAUAAAUGACAUCUUUCAAAGCAUCCUACUGACACAUUAAAUAGUAGCAAGCACAUUUUAUGGCACAAAAAGGUAUGGUUUUUUCAUCCUUGCAAAUAAAAGCAUAACUGAUUAUCUGCCAUCUCUCUAUGAUUCAAACUAAAGCCAAGACUCCUAAUCUUUUUGUUUCAGAUAUCAAAUUUAAGGCUCCCUCUAGGACUUUCUUAACUGUCUACCACUACUCUAUUUCUAUGAUCACAGUCAACUAUAUGUACCAUAUUUUCUGAUUCAAACCGAUAAACAGAAAUUAUUUGCUCUUGAGAAAAACAUUGUUAUCAAUAAAGCCAUGAGUUUUAUUAGGAUGUAAAUAUAUUGUCUGAAAAAUAUGGAAAAGAAAUGAUGCUGUCCACAUCCAGUAAAGACUUCUCAGGCACUAUUUCUUUCUCCGUUAUUUUGUCUUGAACAAUUUAUCAUCAUUUUCUCUUCUUAAACACAAAAUUUAUCAGUACAGAGAAUGUAUUAGCUAGUUUUAACUAUCACCUAUACAUAUAUGGAGUCAUGAUAAGGGAGUCUUCACUUAGGUGUUGCACAGAUCACAUCAGUCUAUGAGUAUAUCAGUGGAGGAUUGUCUUGAUUAUCAAUGCAUGUAGGAUUUCCCAGCCCACAAAGUGUAGCAUCAUUCCCUGGGCAGGUGGACUGAAUUAUAGAAGGAAGCUAGCAAAGUACAAGCCUGAACAAGUACGCCAGUAUGCAGUGUCUUCCAUUGUUCUUGCCUUACCCCAUUCGCUCUGAAGUGAGUUUACUGGGCAGAACUGAGAAUGUCUAUAAUAGCAAGCAGUCCUAUCUUCUGGUUCCUGCCUUUGCAUUCCUUCUCUGACUUCUCUAGAGGAUAGACUUGGAUCUGGAAUGUGACUCAAAUCAGCUUUUUUAUCUCUAUGUUGCUUUUGCUCACACUGUUUUACUACAGCAACUUUAGAAAUGAAAAUUGAAUGGGACCUCUUCUUGAGAAAGUGUUCAUUCAUUUUAUUUCUCCAGUGACAAGUCAAAAUUGUAUAUAUACAUAAUUUGGCACAGAAUGUUUAGAUUAUUGUAUACAUCAUAGAAAGGAUACAUCAAGCUUGUUAACACAAGCAUCAACUCAUAUUAUGGUCAUUUUUUUUAAUUUAAUUUUUUUAAUUUAUUCACUUUACAUUCUGCUCUCUGUCCCUCUCCCAGUCACUGCCUUUUACAAUCCUUCUCCCAUCCCUCCCUCCCCUUCUCUUCUGAGUGGGUGGGGGCCUUCUGCUUGUCCCCCCACCUUGGCACUUCAAGUCUCUGUGAGGCUACGUGCUUCUUCUUAUGGUUAUUAGUUUUAAUAAAAUCUUUUGAAAAUAGUAAAUACUGAAAAACGUUUUAUUGAAUAAUAAUCACUUUGAUAAAGAGGUAGUCUCUUGUAUUUAUUCCCACCAACUAAUGUAAACUUUAUAUCCUUUGUUUUCUGUCAUUUUACUGUCUCUACUGACCAUUAUUUAUUUCUUCUUCUGACUUCAAUUUUUGAGCAAUCUACAUAUAAGUAAUGUCUUCCCUUGCCUGGGUUAUAUCAUGUCACUCAACAUAUAUCCUCAGUUUUAGGAUUCCCUUCAUAUUUAAAGGAGGAAUAAAAUGUGUGUGUGUGUGUGUGUGUGUGUGUGUGUGUGUGUGUGUGUGUCAUAUUUUCUUUCCCCAUUUUUUUUCUGGCAAUGGUCACAGGUAUAUUCACUUCCUUGUCACUGAGAGUAGCAUUGCAACAGACAUAACAACACUGUUAUCUCUGUGACAGGAGGUGUGUCAUUAUGGAUAUGGGCUUUAAUCCCCUUGUUUUAGCUGCCUGAAAGCCAGUCUUCUCCUAGUGGUCUUCAGAUGAAGAUGUAGGACUCUCACCUCUUCCUGUACCAUGUCUGCCUGAAGACUACCAUGCUCCCACCUUGAUGAUAAUUGACUGAACCUGUGAACCAGCUCCAAGAAAAUGUUGUCCGUAUAAAUGUUGCCUUGGUCACGGUGUCUGUUCAUAGCAGUAAAACGCUAAGUG